AAAUUGAAGAGUUUGAUCAUGGCUCAGAUUGAACGCUGGCGGCAGGCCUAACACAUGCAAGUCGAGCGGUAGCACAGAGAGCUUGCUCUCGGGUGACGAGCGGCGGACGGGUGAGUAAUGUCUGGGAAACUGCCUGAUGGAGGGGGAUAACUACUGGAAACGGUAGCUAAUACCGCAUAAUGUCGCAAGACCAAAGUGGGGGACCUUCGGGCCUCAUGCCAUCAGAUGUGCCCAGAUGGGAUUAGCUAGUAGGUGGGGUAACGGCUCACCUAGGCGACGAUCCCUAGCUGGUCUGAGAGGAUGACCAGCCACACUGGAACUGAGACACGGUCCAGACUCCUACGGGAGGCAGCAGUGGGGAAUAUUGCACAAUGGGCGCAAGCCUGAUGCAGCCAUGCCGCGUGUGUGAAGAAGGCCUUCGGGUUGUAAAGCACUUUCAGCGGGGAGGAAGGCGGUGAGGUUAAUAACCUCACCGAUUGACGUUACCCGCAGAAGAAGCACCGGCUAACUCCGUGCCAGCAGCCGCGGUAAUACGGAGGGUGCAAGCGUUAAUCGGAAUUACUGGGCGUAAAGCGCACGCAGGCGGUCUGUCAAGUCGGAUGUGAAAUCCCCGGGCUUAACCUGGGAACUGCAUUCGAAACUGGCAGGCUAGAGUCUUGUAGAGGGGGUAGAAUUCCAGGUGUAGCGGUGAAAUGCGUAGAGAUCUGGAGGAAUACCGGUGGCGAAGGCGGCCCCCUGGACAAAGACUGACGCUCAGGUGCGAAAGCGUGGGGAGCAAACAGGAUUAGAUACCCUGGUAGUCCACGCCGUAAACGAUGUCGAUUUGGAGGUUGUGCCCUUGAGGCGUGGCUUCCGGAGCUAACGCGUUAAAUCGACCGCCUGGGGAGUACGGCCGCAAGGUUAAAACUCAAAUGAAUUGACGGGGGCCCGCACAAGCGGUGGAGCAUGUGGUUUAAUUCGAUGCAACGCGAAGAACCUUACCUGGUCUUGACAUCCACAGAACUUUCCAGAGAUGGAUUGGUGCCUUCGGGAACUGUGAGACAGGUGCUGCAUGGCUGUCGUCAGCUCGUGUUGUGAAAUGUUGGGUUAAGUCCCGCAACGAGCGCAACCCUUAUCCUUUGUUGCCAGCGGUUCGGCCGGGAACUCAAAGGAGACUGCCAGUGAUAAACUGGAGGAAGGUGGGGAUGACGUCAAGUCAUCAUGGCCCUUACGACCAGGGCUACACACGUGCUACAAUGGCAUAUACAAAGAGAAGCGACCUCGCGAGAGCAGCGGACCUCAUAAAGUAUGUCGUAGUCCGGAUUGGAGUCUGCAACUCGACUCCAUGAAGUCGGAAUCGCUAGUAAUCGUAGAUCAGAAUGCUACGGUGAAUACGUUCCCGGGCCUUGUACACACCGCCCGUCACACCAUGGGAGUGGGUUGCAAAAGAAGUAGGUAGCUUAACCUUCGGGAGGGCGCUUACCACUUUGUGAUUCAUGACUGGGGUGAAGUCGUAACAAGGUAACCGUAGGGGAACCUGCGGUUGGAUCACCUCCUUA
rnacentral:rRNA from 1 species